rnacentral:rRNA from 1 species
GUUUUAAAUGGAAGUUUCGGAUGGAAGUUAGAAACUAGUGGCGGAACGGGUGAGUAACGCGUGGGUAACCUGCCUCAGUACAGGGGGAUAACAGUUAGAAAUGACUGCUAACACCGCAUAAUAUAGCAAAACCGCAUGAUUUUUGCUAUCAAAUAUUUAUAGGUAUGAGAUGGGCCCGCGUCUGAUUAGCUAGUUGGUGGGUAAAAGCCUACCAAGGCGACGAUCAGUAGCCGGCUUGAGAGAGUGACCGGCCACAUGGGACUGAGACACGGCCCAAACUCCUACGGGAGGCAGCAGUGGGGAAUAUUGGACAAUGGGGGAAACCCUGAUCCAGGCCGACGCCGCGUGAGUGAAGAAGUAUUUCGGUAUGUAAAGCUCUAUCAGCAGGGAAGAUAAUGACAGUACCUGACUAAGAAGCCCCGGCUAACUACGUGCCAGCCGCCGC